rnacentral:rRNA from 1 species
AACGAACGCUGGCGGCAGGCCUAACACAUGCAAGUCGAACGCCGUAGCAAUACGGAGUGGCAGACGGGUGAGUAACACGUGGGAACGUACCCUUCGGUUCGGAAUAACUCAGGGAAACUUGAGCUAAUACCGGAUACGUCCGUAAGGAGAAAGAUUUAUCGCCGAGGGAUCGGCCCGCGUCUGAUUAGCUUGUUGGUGAGGUAACGGCUCACCAAGGCGACGAUCAGUAGCUGGUCUGAGAGGAUGAUCAGCCACAUUGGGACUGAGACACGGCCCAAACUCCUACGGGAGGCAGCAGUGGGGAAUAUUGGACAAUGGGCGCAAGCCUGAUCCAGCCAUGCCGCGUGAGUGAUGAAGGCCUUAGGGUUGUAAAGCUCUUUUACUCGGGAAGAUAAAUGACGGUACCGAGAGAAUAAGCCCCGGCUAACUUCGUGCCAGCCGCCGCUGUAAU